UAUUAGUUUUUUUUAUUUUUAUUUCUUUUUUUUUAUUAUUUAUUUUGAUUUAUAUAUUUAAAUUAGUAUUAUAAUAACAAUUAGUUGGUAAGUGAUCUGGUGGAGAGAAGUGAUGUCUAGGUCUUUAGUGUAGUGGGUUCAAUUCCCCUAUGUGUAGUUUUUUUUUCUUUUAACAUUUUCUUUUGUGUUUAUGCUUUAUUACUCAUAGUUUUUAUUAUUUAAUAACAUAGAUUUGUUUUUUCUUUUAAUUGCAUCAUGCAUUCGAAACCAUUUUUUUUAGUGUAGUUUUUUUUUCUUUUAACAUUUUCUUUUGUGUUUAUGCUUUAUUACUCAUAGUUUUUAUUAUUUAAUAACAUAGAUUUGUUUUUUCUUUUAAUUGCAUCAUGCAUUCGAAACCAUUUUUUUUUAACUUAUAAAAAUCAUAUUUUCUCGAUUUAAUAUCGAGCCCCUUUUUUCACACCCUUGUAAGUCGAUUGCUUUUUAAGCAUCGCCAUCAACCUCACAUAGCUUACUC
rnacentral:lncRNA from 1 species